rnacentral:rRNA from 2 species
UAUGAACCGUUAUAACCGGCGAUACCCGAAUGGGGAAACCCAGUGUGACUCGUCACACUAUCAUUAACUGAAUCCAUAGGUUAAUGAGGCGAACCGGGGGAACUGAAACAUCUAAGUACCCCGAGGAAAAGAAAUCAACCGAGAUUCCCCCAGUAGCGGCGAGCGAACGGGGAGGAGCCCAGAGCCUGAAUCAGCAUGUGUGUUAGUGGAAGCGUCUGGAAAGGCGCGCGAUACAGGGUGACAGCCCCGUACACAAAAGCGCAUGUGCUGUGAGCUCGAUGAGUAGGGCGGGACACGUGGUAUCCUGUCUGAAUAUGGGGGGACCAUCCUCCAAGGCUAAAUACUCCUGACUGACCGAUAGUGAACCAGUACCGUGAGGGAAAGGCGAAAAGAACCCCGGCGAGGGGAGUGAAAAAGAACCUGAAACCGUGUACGUACAAGCAGUGGGAGCCCCACCACCAAAGCAUUUGCUGUACCGCGUUGACGGAGCGAAGCGACGUCAAACCGAUAAAACAGCAGUGUAAAGUGAGCCGCAGGGCGCUUUGCGCGACAGCGCAAAGGCAGGCGGUUUCGCGUAGCGAAAGCGAAUGCUUUGGGGUGGGGUGACUGCGUACCUUUUGUAUAAUGGGUCAGCGACUUAUAUUCUGUAGCAAGGUUAACCGAAUAGGGGAGCCGGAGGGAAACCGAGUCUUAAUUGGGCGUUAAGUUGCAGGGUAUAGACCCGAAACCCGGUGAUCUAGCCAUGGGCAGGUUGAAGGUUGGGUAACACUAACUGGAGGACCGAACCGACUAAUGUUGAAAAAUUAGCGGAUGACCUGUGGCUGGGGGUGAAAGGCCAAUCAAACCGGGAGAUAGCUGGUUCUCCCCGAAAGCUAUUUAGGUAGCGCCUCGUGAAUUCAUCUCCGGGGGUAGAGCACUGUUUCGGCUAGGGGGCCAUCCCGGCUUACCAACCCGAUGCAAACUGCGAAUACCGGAGAAUGUUAUCACGGGAGACACACGGCGGGUGCUAACGUCCGUCGUGAAGAGGGAAACAACCCAGACCGCCAGCUAAGGUCCCAAAGUCAUGGUUAAGUGGGAAACGAUGUGGGAAGGCCCAGACAGCCAGGAUGUUGGCUUAGAAGCAGCCAUCAUUUAAAGAAAGCGUAAUAGCUCACUGGUCGAGUCGGCCUGCGCGGAAGAUGUAACGGGGCUAAACCAUGCACCGAAGCUGCGGCAGCGACACUGUGUGUUGUUGGGUAGGGGAGCGUUCUGUAAGCCUGUGAAGGUGUGUCGUGAGGCAUGCUGGAGGUAUCAGAAGUGCGAAUGCUGACAUAAGUAACGAUAAAGCGGGUGAAAAGCCCGCUCGCCGGAAGACCAAGGGUUCCUGUCCAACGUUAAUCGGGGCAGGGUGAGUCGACCCCUAAGGCGAGGCCGAAAGGCGUAGUCGAUGGGAAACGGGUUAAUAUUCCCGUACUUGGUGUUACUGCGAAGGGGGGACGGAGAAGGCUAUGUUGGCCGGG